UACGUAGGGACCGAGCGUUGUCCGGAUUCAUUGGGCGUAAAGAGCUACGUAGGCGGCUGCUCAAGUCGAAUGUGAAACCUCGAGGCUUAACCUCGAGCCUGCAUUCGAUACUGGGCGGCUAGAGUCUGGUAGGGGGAGUCUGGAAUUCCUGGGUGUAGCGGUGGAAUGCGCAGAGUAUCAGGAGGAACACCGGUGGCGAAGGCGGGAAUCC
rnacentral:rRNA from 1 species